UACGGAGGGUGCAAGCGUUAUCCGGAUUCACUGGGUUUAAAGGGUGCGUAGGCGGAUUAGAAAGUCCGUUGUGAAAUCUCUGAGCUUAACUCGGAAAUUGCGGUGGAUACUAUUAGUCUUGAAUACUGUGGAGGUUAGCGGAAUAUGUCAUGUAGCGGUGAAAUGCAUAGAUAUGACAUAGAACACCAAUUGCGAAGGCAGCUGGCUACACAGAUAUUGACGCUGAGGCACGAAAGCGUGGGGAUCAAACAGG
rnacentral:rRNA from 2 species